AUGCGUUUUUUCGCGCAAAUUUUUUUUGUCGAAAAGCUAAGGAGGCCCGCUACCGAUGUGUACAUGUUAUUAGAUGUGGCUACCGAUGUGUACCCAAUGCGUGUUGGUGACAAGUUCACCAUGGCCGGUAGGAAAACACUUGCUGACAAGUAUGACUAUGUCAUGCAUGGAAAGCUUUACAAGAUUUCAGAGGACAAUUCCAGUAAAAAAGAACAGGCCCAUAGCCCAACUCAUCUCUCUCACGGAGAAUUCCAGAAAGACUGA
rnacentral:rRNA from 1 species